GAUGAAGAACGCAGUGAAAUGCGAUACGUAAUGUGAAUUGCAGAAUUCAGUGAAUCAUCGAGUCUUUGAACGCAUAUUGCGCCCCCUGGUAUUCCGGGGGGCAUGCCUGUCCGAGCGUCAUUGCUGCCCUCAAGCACGGCUUGUGUGUUGGGCCUCCGUCCUCCUCCCGGGGGACGGGCCCGAAAGGCAGCGGCGGCACCGCGUCCGGUCCUCGAGCGUAUGGGGCUUCGUCACCCGCUCUUGUAGGCCCGGCCGGCGCUUGCCGACACAUCAAUCUUUUUUCCAGGUUGACCUCGGAUCAGGUAGGGAUACCCGCUGAACUUAAGCAUAUCAAUAAGCGGAGGA
rnacentral:misc_RNA from 1 species